rnacentral:rRNA from 1 species
UAGCCCUGUUUGCCAGCGAGUAAUGUCGGGAACUCCAGGGAGACUGCCGGUGAUAAACCGGAGGAAGGUGGGGACGACGUCAAGUCAUCAUGGCCCUUACGAGUAGGGCUACACACGUGCUACAAUGGCGCAUACAGAGGGCAGCAAGCUAGCGAUAGUGAGCGAAUCCCAAAAAGUGCGUCGUAGUCCGGAUUGGAGUCUGCAACUCGACUCCAUGAAGUCGGAAUCGCUAGUAAUCGUGGAUCAGAAUGCCACGGUGAAUACGUUCCCGGGCCUUGUACACACCGCCCGUCACACCAUGGGAGUGGGCUGCAAAAGAAGUAGGUAGUUUAACCUUCGGGAGGACGCUUACCACUUUGUGGUUCAUGACUGGGGUGAAGUCGUAACAAGGUAGCGCU